rnacentral:tRNA from 1 species
GUCUUAUAGUUAAAAAAUAAUAUAAAAUUGCAAAUUUUAAGAUGAAAAUAAUUCUAAGGCUU